rnacentral:rRNA from 1 species
AUACGGAGGGUGCAAGCGUUACUCGGAAUCACUGGGCGUAAAGCGCGCGCAGGCGGUUUGAUAAGUUGGAUGUGAAAUCCUAUGGCUCAACCAUAGUACUGCAUCCAAAACUGUCAAACUAGAGUCUGGGAGAGGAAGAUGGAAUUAGUUGUGUAGGGGUAAAAUCCGUAGAGAUAACUAGGAAUACCAAAAGCGAAGGCGAUCUUCUGGAACAGUACUGACGCUGAGGCGCGAAAGCGUGGGGAGCAAACAGGAUUAGAAACCCGAGUAGUCC